CGCCUCUUGACUUAUAAUAAGAGGUCCAGCCUGCCCAGUGAAUUUUUAACGGCCGCGGUAUCCUAACCGCGCGAAGGUAGCAUAAUCACUUGUUCUUUAAAUGGGGACUCGUAUCAACGGCAUCACGAGGGUUUUACUGUCUCCUCUUUUUGAUCAGUGAAAUUGAUCUUCCCGUGAAGAAGCGGGAAUAAUCCUAUAAGACGAGAAGACCCCAUGGAGCUUAAAACCAAAUAACAACUUAACCACUUACCCCACUAGAAAUUUAAGCCCUGUUAUAAGGUUUUUGGUUGGGGUGACCGCGGAGUAAAGAACAUCCUCCACGACGGAAAGAACACACUCUUUAUUUAAGAACCACAAUUCUAGAAAUUAGUAUACUAACGUUUACUGACCCGAUAAUCGAUCAACGGACCAAGUUACCCUGGGGAUAACAGCGCAAUCUACUUCAAGAGCUCAUAUCGACAAGUAGGCUUACGACCUCGAUGUUGGAUCAGGGUAUCCCGGUGGUGCAGCCGCUACCGAAGGUUCGUUUGUUCAACGAUUAAAACCCU
rnacentral:rRNA from 1 species